GACGAACGCUGGCGGCAUGCCUAAUACAUGCAAGUAGAACGCAGUUGCGAACGGGUGAGUCACGCGUAGGUAACUGCCUCAUAGCGGGGGAUAACUAUUGGAAACGUUAGCUAAUACCGCAUCCUGUGAGAUGGACCUGCGUUGGAUUAGCUAGUUGGUGAGGUAAAGGCUCACCAAGGCGACGUUACAUAGCCGGCCUGGGAGGGUGGUCCGCCACACUUGGACUGAGGCACGGCCCAGACUCCUACGGGAGGCAGCAGUAGGGAAUCUUCGGCAAUUGACGGAAGUCUGACCCAGCAACGCCGCGGGAGUGAAGAAGGUUUUCGGAUCGUAAAGCUCUGUUGUUAGGGAAGCGGUAACUAAACAGAAAGGGACGGCUAACUACGUGCCAGCAGCCGCGGUAAUAC
rnacentral:rRNA from 1 species